CAACCCUCAAGCACCGCUUGGUUUUGGGGCCCCACGGCACACGUGGGCCCUUAAAGGUAGUGGCGGACCCUCCCGGAGCCUCCUUUGCGUAGUAACUAACGUCUCGCACUGGGAUCCGGAGGGACUCUUGCCGUAAAACCCCCCAAUUUUUU
rnacentral:misc_RNA from 1 species